rnacentral:rRNA from 1 species
UACGAACGCUGGCGGCGUGCUUAACACAUGCAAGUCGAACGCUGAGGCUCAGCUUUUGUUGGGUGGAUGAGUGGCGAACGGGUGAGUAACACGUGAGUAACCUGCCCCCUUCUUUGGGAUAACGCCCGGAAACGGGUGCUAAUACUGGAUAUUCACUGGUCUUCGCCUGGGGGUUGGUGGAAAGGGUUUUUCUGGUGGGGGAUGGGCUCGCGGCCUAUCAGCUUGUUGGUGGGGUGAUGGCCUACCAAGGCUUUGACGGGUAGCCGGCCUGAGAGGGUGACCGGGCACAUUGGGACGGAGAUACGGCCCAGACUCCUACGGGAGGCAGCAGUGGGGAAUAUUGCACAAUGGGCGCAAGCCUGAUGCAGCGACGCCGCGUGAGGGAUGGAGGCCGUCGGGUUGUGAACCUCUUUCGCUCAUGGUCAAGCCGCAACAAUGGUUGUGGUGAGGGUAGUGGGUAAAGAAGCGCCGGCUAACUACGUG